GUCUAAAAUGACUCUCGACAACGGAUAUCUCGGCUCUUGCAUCGAUGAAGAACGUAGCGAAAUGCGAUACUUGGUGUGAAUUGCAGAAUCCCGUGAACCAUCGAGUUUUUGAACGCAAGUUGCGCCCGAAGCCAUUAGGUUGAGGGCACGCCUGCCUGGGUGUCACUAA
rnacentral:rRNA from 2 species